rnacentral:rRNA from 1 species
GCAACUCGCCUGCAUGAAGUUGGAAUUGCUAGUAAUCGCGAAUCAGAAUGUCGCGGUGAAUACGUUCCCGGGCCUUGUACACACCGCCCGUCACACCAUGGGAGCCGGGAAUGCCCGAAGUCGGUGACCCAACCGUAAGGAGGGAGCCGCCGAAGGCAGGCCUGGUAACUGGGGUGAAGUCGUAACAAGGUACC